rnacentral:lncRNA from 1 species
UUGAAUUGGUGUUGUUUGCUGGUUGGAGAAUACUAGAAUGAUGGAUGAUAGAUGAUGAUGAUGAUGUUGACGGGGUGGUAGAUUACUUCUGUUUUGAGGCCUCCUCUGCCUCCCACUGCUUAUUGCAUUUGUUUCAUUAUCCUUCCUCUUACUGAAAUUGCUCCCAUAUUUCUUGCUAGUUGACGCCUCCUCUUUCGACAAUCG